rnacentral:rRNA from 1 species
GGUUAAGCGACUAAGCGUACACGGUGGAUGCCCUGGCAGUCAGAGGCGAUGAAGGACGUGCUAAUCUGCGAUAAGCGUCGGUAAGGUGAUAUGAACCGUUAUAACCGGCGAUUUCCGAAUGGGGAAACCCAGUGUGUUUCGACACACUAUCAUUAACUGAAUCCAUAGGUUAAUGAGGCGAACCGGGGGAACUGAAACAUCUAAGUACCCCGAGGAAAAGAAAUCAACCGAGAUUCCCCCAGUAGCGGCGAGCGAACGGGGAGCAGCCCAGAGCCUGAAUCAGUGUGUGUGUUAGUGGAAGCGUCUGGAAAGGCGCGCGAUACAGGGUGACAGCCCCGUACACAAAAAUGCACAUGCUGUGAGCUCGAUGAGUAGGGCGGGACACGUGGUAUCCUGUCUGAAUAUGGGGGGACCAUCCUCCAAGGCUAAAUACUCCUGACUGACCGAUAGUGAACCAGUACCGUGAGGGAAAGGCGAAAAGAACCCCGGCGAGGGGAGUGAAAAAGAACCUGAAACCGUGUACGUACAAGCAGUGGGAGCACAGAGCAAUCUGUGUGACUGCGUACCUUUUGUAUAAUGGGUCAGCGACUUAUAUUCUGUAGCAAGGUUAACCGAAUAGGGGAGCCGAAGGGAAACCGAGUCUUAACUGGGCGUUAAGUUGCAGGGUAUAGACCCGAAACCCGGUGAUCUAGCCAUGGGCAGGUUGAAGGUUGGGUAACACUAACUGGAGGACCGAACCGACUAAUGUUGAAAAAUUAGCGGAUGACUUGUGGCUGGGGGUGAAAGGCCAAUCAAACCGGGAGAUAGCUGGUUCUCCCCGAAAGCUAUUUAGGUAGCGCCUCGUGAAUUCAUCUCCGGGGGUAGAGCACUGUUUCGGCAAGGGGGUCAUCCCGACUUACCAACCCGAUGCAAACUGCGAAUACCGGAGAAUGUUAUCACGGGAGACACACGGCGGGUGCUAACGUCCGUCGUGAAGAGGGAAACAACCCAGACCGCCAGCUAAGGUCCCAAAGUCAUGGUUAAGUGGGAAACGAUGUGGGAAGGCCCAGACAGCCAGGAUGUUGGCUUAGAAGCAGCCAUCAUUUAAAGAAAGCGUAAUAGCUCACUGGUCGAGUCGGCCUGCGCGGAAGAUGUAACGGGGCUAAACCAUGCACCGAAGCUGCGGCAGCGACGCUGAUGCGUUGUUGGGUAGGGGAGCGUUCUGUAAGCCUGCGAAGGUGUGCUGUGAGGCAUGCUGGAGGUAUCAGAAGUGCGAAUGCUGACAUAAGUAACGAUAAAGCGGGUGAAAAGCCCGCUCGCCGGAAGACCAAGGGUUCCUGUCCAACGUUAAUCGGGGCAGGGUGAGUCGACCCCUAAGGCGAGGCCGAAAGGCGUAGUCGAUGGGAAACAGGUUAAUAUUCCUGUACUUGGUGUUACUGCGAAGGGGGGACGGAGAAGGCUAUGUUGGCCGGGCGACGGUUGUCCCGGUUUAAGCGUGUAGGCUGGUUUUCCAGGCAAAUCCGGAAAAUCAAGGCUGAGGCGUGAUGACGAGGCACUACGGUGCUGAAGCAACAAAUGCCCUGCUUCCAGGAAAAGCCUCUAAGCAUCAGGUAACAUCAAAUCGUACCCCAAACCGACACAGGUGGUCAGGUAGAGAAUACCAAGGCGCUUGAGAGAACUCGGGUGAAGGAACUAGGCAAAAUGGUGCCGUAACUUCGGGAGAAGGCACGCUGAUAUGUAGGUGAAGUCCCUCGCGGAUGGAGCUGAAAUCAGUCGAAGAUACCAGCUGGCUGCAACUGUUUAUUAAAAACACAGCACUGUGCAAACACGAAAGUGGACGUAUACGGUGUGACGCCUGCCCGGUGCCGGAAGGUUAAUUGAUGGGGUUAGCGCAAGCGAAGCUCUUGAUCGAAGCCCCGGUAAACGGCGGCCGUAACUAUAACGGUCCUAAGGUAGCGAAAUUCCUUGUCGGGUAAGUUCCGACCUGCACGAAUGGCGUAAUGAUGGCCAGGCUGUCUCCACCCGAGACUCAGUGAAAUUGAACUCGCUGUGAAGAUGCAGUGUACCCGCGGCAAGACGGAAAGACCCCGUGAACCUUUACUAUAGCUUGACACUGAACAUUGAGCCUUGAUGUGUAGGAUAGGUGGGAGGCUUUGAAGUGUGGACGCCAGUCUGCAUGGAGCCGACCUUGAAAUACCACCCUUUAAUGUUUGAUGUUCUAACGUUGACCCGUAAUCCGGGUUGCGGACAGUGUCUGGUGGGUAGUUUGACUGGGGCGGUCUCCUCCUAAAGAGUAACGGAGGAGCACGAAGGUUGGCUAAUCCUGGUCGGACAUCAGGAGGUUAGUGCAAUGGCAUAAGCCAGCUUGACUGCGAGCGUGACGGCGCGAGCAGGUGCGAAAGCAGGUCAUAGUGAUCCGGUGGUUCUGAAUGGAAGGGCCAUCGCUCAACGGAUAAAAGGUACUCCGGGGAUAACAGGCUGAUACCGCCCAAGAGUUCAUAUCGACGGCGGUGUUUGGCACCUCGAUGUCGGCUCAUCACAUCCUGGGGCUGAAGUAGGUCCCAAGGGUAUGGCUGUUCGCCAUUUAAAGUGGUACGCGAGCUGGGUUUAGAACGUCGUGAGACAGUUCGGUCCCUAUCUGCCGUGGGCGCUGGAGAAUUGAGGGGGGCUGCUCCUAGUACGAGAGGACCGGAGUGGACGCAUCACUGGUGUUCGGGUUGUCAUGCCAAUGGCACUGCCCGGUAGCUAAAUGCGGAAGAGAUAAGUGCUGAAAGCAUCUAAGCACGAAACUUGCCCCGAGAUGAGUUCUCCCUGACUCCUUGAGAGUCCUGAAGGAACGUUGAAGACGACGACGUUGAUAGGCCGGGUGUGUAAGCGCAGCGAUGCGUUGAGCUAACCGGUACUAAUGAACCGUGAGGCUUAACCUU